UACGUAGGGUGCAAGCGUUAAUCGGAAUUACUGGGCGUAAAGCGUGCGCAGGCGGCUUUGCAAGACAGAUGUGAAAUCCCCGGGCUCAACCUGGGAACUGCAUUUGUGACUGCAAGGCUGGAGUACGGCAGAGGGGGAUGGAAUUCCGCGUGCAGCAGUGAAAUGCGUAGAUAUGCGGAGGAACACCGAUGGCGAAGGCAAUCCCCUGGGCCUGUACUGACGCUCAUGCACGAAAGCGUGGGGAGCAAACAGG
rnacentral:rRNA from 1 species